rnacentral:rRNA from 1 species
UACGUAGGUGGCAAGCGUUGUCCGGAAUUAUUGGGCGUAAAGAGCUCGUAGGCGGUUUGUCGCGUCGGCCGUGAAAUCUCCACGCUUAACGUGGAGCGUGCGGUCGAUACGGGCAGACUUGAGUUCGGUAGGGGAGACUGGAAUUCCUGGUGUAGCGGUGAAAUGCGCAGAUAUCAGGAGGAACACCGGUGGCGAAGGCGGGUCUCUGGGCCGAUACUGACGCUGAGGAGCGAAAGCGUGGGGAGCGAACAGG